CGGAGUGUAGCUCAGCUGGCUAGAGUAUUUGGUUAGGAGCCAAAGGGGCGGAGGUUCAAAUCCUUCUACUCCGA
rnacentral:tRNA from 2 species